rnacentral:rRNA from 1 species
CGUAGGUGGCAAGCGAUACUCGGAAUCACUAGGCGUAAAGCGCAGGUAGGCGGUUCGGUAAGUCUUUUGUGAAAGCUCCCGGCUCAGCUGGGAGAGGCCAAGGGAAACUACUGGGCUAGAGUGUGGUAGGGGAUACUGGAAUUCCUGGUGUAGCGGUGAAAUGCGUAGAUAUCAGGAGGAAUACCUAUGGCGAAAGCAGGUAUCUGGGCCAUCACUGACGCUGAGCUGCGAAAGCUAGGGGAGCAAACAGGAUUAGAUACCCUGGUAGUCCUAGCCCUAAACGAUGCUCAUUAGAUGUGGGAGGUAUCGACCCCUUCCGCGUCGCAGCUAACGCAUUAAAUGAGCCGCCUGGGGAGUACGGCCGCAAGGUUG